AAGAUUAUUAAGCCGCGUAUCGACUGCGCGCGGCUGCCGCGCGAGCCAUGUUCGACCGCGCCAAACCUGCGUUUUGGUGCGCGAGCCAAUUUAAAGCUCAACAUUUUCAUAUAGCGCGGCAGCGGCGCGCGGCAGGCGAUCCGUGAACAAACAUUCAUUUAGGUCCGUCCCAAUUGCGCACGCACAACACACUGACGCUCCUUUGCCGCGCCAC